rnacentral:rRNA from 1 species
AAUAGAUACCCUGGUAGUCCACGCCGUAAACGAUGAGUGCUAAGUGUUAGGGGGUUUCCGCCCCUUAGUGCUGCAGCUAACGCAUUAAGCACUCCGCCUGGGGAGUACGGUCGCAAGACUGAAACUCAAAGGAAUUGACGGGGGCCCGCACAAGCGGUGGAGCAUGUGGUUUAAUUCGAAGCAACGCGAAGAACCUUACCAGGUCUUGACAUCCCGUUGACCACUGUAGAGAUAUAGUUUCCCCUUCGGGGGCAACGGUGACAGGUGGUGCAUGGUUGUCGUCAGCUCGUGUCGUGAGAUGUUGGGUUAAGUCCCGCAACGAGCGCAACCCUUGAUCUUAGUUGCCAUCAUUUAGUUGGGCACUCUAAGGUGACUGCCGGUGACAAACCGGAGGAAGGUGGGGAUGACGUCAAAUCAUCAUGCCCCUUAUGACCUGGGCUACACACGUGCUACAAUGGACGAUACAAAACGGUUGCCAACUCGCGAGAGGGAGCUAAUCCGAUAAAGUCGUUCUCAGUUCGGAUUGUAGG